rnacentral:rRNA from 1 species
AUUGAACGCUGGCGGCAGGCCUAACACAUGCAAGUCGAACGGAUCCUUCGGGAUUAGUGGCGGACGGGUGAGUAACGCGCGGGAACGUGCCCUUUGGUUCGGAAUAGCCUCGGGAAACUGGGAGUAAUACCGGAUAAGCCCUUCGGGGGAAAGAUUUAUCGCCAAAGGAUCGGCCGGCGUUGGAUUAGGUAGUUGGUGGGGUAAUGGCCUACCAAGCCGACGAUCCAUCGCUGGUUUGAGAGGAUGAUCAGCCACACUGGGACUGAGACACGGCCCAGACCCGUACGGGAGGCAGCAGUGGGGAAUCUUAGACAAUGGGGGAAACCCUGAUCUAGCCAUGCCGCGUGAUCGAUGAAGGCCUUAGGGUUGUAAAGAUCUUUCAGUUGGGAAGAUAAUGACGGUACCAACAGAAGAAGCCCCGGCUAACUCCGUGCCAGCCGCCGCAGUAAGAC